rnacentral:tRNA from 1 species
GGAGAGGUGGCGGAGCCAGGUUGAACGCGUUUGUCUUGAAAACAAAAGGGGUGAAAGCCUCCGGGGGUUCGAAUCCCUCCUUCUCCGCCA